UACGGGGGGAGCAAGCGUUGUUCGGAUUUACUGGGCGUAAAGGGCGCGUAGGCGGCCACCGCAAGUCGACUGUGAAAUCUCCGGGCUUAACUCGGAAACUGCCGUGGAUACUAUUAGUCUUGAAUACUGUGGAGGUAAGCGGAAUAUGUCAUGUAGCGGUGAAAUGCUUAGAUAUGACAUAGAACACCGAUAGCGAAGGCAGCUUGCUACACAGUCAUUGACACUGAGGCACGAAAGCGUGGGGAGCAAACAGG
rnacentral:rRNA from 1 species